rnacentral:lncRNA from 1 species
UUCUUGUCUGGUUCAGUGGCCUGCCAAACCCUUGUGGAGCUGGAGAGUUUGGGUGUUGUGGUAAUCAUGGAGACAGGGAGAGUGUUGGACUUAGUGGACACUGGAAGUCCCUUGCAGGUGUCCUUUGACACACAGAGACGAGACGCAGGUUGUGUGGAGACAGAGGCAGGGGUUGGAAGGAGGCUGCCACAAGCCAACGAAUACCUGGAGGACCAGAAGCUGCAAGAGGCCUGAGAGGACCCUCCCCUAGAGCCUCUGGAGAGAGCACGGCCCUGCCCACACCUGAGCUGUGGACUUGUGGCCUCCGG